UACGGAGGGUGCAAGCGUUAUUCGGAUUUAUUGGGCGUAAAGGGCGCGUAGGCGGCCGCUUAAGUCAGAUGUGAAAGCCCGGGGCUUAACCCCGGAAGUGCGUUUGAUACUGGGUGGCUUGAGUAUGGGAGAGGGAAGUGGAAUUCCUGGUGUAGAGGUGAAAUUCGUAGAUAUCAGGAGGAACAUCGGUGGCGAAGGCGACUUCCUGGACCAAUACUGACGCUGAGGCGCGAAGGCGUGGGUAGCAAACAGGAUUAGAUACCCCCGUAGUCC
rnacentral:rRNA from 1 species